GACGAACGUUGGCGGCGUGCUUAAUAUAUGCAAGUCAACUGAAGCAGUGGUAGCAAUAUCGCUGUGGAGGUGGCGCACGGGUGAGUAACACGUAGGUAAUCUGCCUUCAGGUCUGGCAUAACUCCGGGAAACCGGGGCUAAUAGCAGAUGAUGCAGCGGCUCGACAUCGAGACAGUUGUUAAAGCUAUGGCGCCUGAAGAUGAGCCUGCGUCUGAUUAGCUAGUUGGCGGGGUAACGGCCCACCAAGGCAACGAUCAGUAGCUGGUCUGAGAGGAUGAUCAGCCACACUGGAACUGAGACACGGUCCAGACUCCUACGGGAGGCAGCAGUAAGGAAUAUUGCUCAAUGGGAGAAAUCCUGAAGCAGCAACGCCGCGUGAGGGACGAAGGGCUUUUGCUUGUAAACCUCUGUAGUGAGAGAAAAAAAUCCCAAUCUUUGGGACAUGAUGGUAUCUCAAAAGUAAGCCCCGGCUAACUACGUG
rnacentral:rRNA from 1 species